rnacentral:rRNA from 1 species
UUUUAUGGAGAGUUUGAUCCUGGCUCAGGAUGAACGCUGGCGGCGUGCCUAAUACAUGCAAGUCGAGCGAACGGACGAGAAGCUUGCUUCUCUGAUGUUAGCGGCGGACGGGUGAGUAACACGUGGAUAACCUACCUAUAAGACUGGGAUAACUUCGGGAAACCGGAGCUAAUACCGGAUAAUAUUUUGAACCGCAUGGUUCAAAAGUGAAAGGCGGUCUUGCUGUCACUUAUAGAUGGAUCCGCGCUGCAUUAGCUAGUUGGUAAGGUAACGGCUUACCAAGGCAACGAUGCAUAGCCGACCUGA